UCGAGCGGAUGACAGGAGCUUGCUCCUGAAUUCAGCGGCGGACGGGUGAGUAAUGCCUAGGAAUCUGCCUAUUAGUGGGGGACAACGUUUCGAAAGGAACGCUAAUACCGCAUACGUCCUACGGGAGAAAGCAGGGGACCUUCGGGCCUUGCGCUAAUAGAUGAGCCUAGGUCGGAUUAGCUAGUUGGUGGGGUAAUGGCUCACCAAGGCGACGAUCCGUAACUGGUCUGAGAGGAUGAUCAGUCACACUGGAACUGAGACACGGUCCAGACUCCUACGGGAGGCAGCAGUGGGGAAUAUUGGACAAUGGGCGAAAGCCUGAUCCARCCAUGCCGCGUGUGUGAAGAAGGUCUUCGGAUUGUAAAGCACUUUAAGUUGGGAGGAAGGGCAGUUACCUAAUACGUGAUUGUUUUGACGUUACCGACAGAAUAAGCACCGGCUAACUCUGUGCCAGCAGCCGCGGUAAUACAGAGGGUGCAAGCGUUAAUCGGAAUUACUGGGCGUAAAGCGCGCGUAGGUGGUUUGUUAAGUYGGAUGUGAAAUCCCCGGGCUCAACCUGGGAACUGCAUCCAAAACUGGCAAGCUAGAGUAGGGCAGAGGGUGGUGGAAUUUCCUGUGUAGCGGUGAACUGCGUAGAUAUAGGAAGGAACACCAGGUGGCGAAGGCGCCCACCUGGGC
rnacentral:rRNA from 1 species